AUUGAACGCUGGCGGCAUGCCUUACACAUGCAAGUCGAACGGCAGCGCGGACUUCGGUCUGGCGGCGAGUGGCGAACGGGUGAGUAAUACAUCGGAACGUACCCUGUUGUGGGGGAUAACUAGUCGAAAGAUUAGCUAAUACCGCAUACGACCUGAGGGUGAAAGUGGGGGACCGGAAACGGCCUCAUGCAGCAGGAGCGGCCGAUGUCUGAUUAGCUAGUUGGUGGGGUAAAGGCCCACCAAGGCGACGAUCAGUAGCUGGUCUGAGAGGUCGAUCAGCCACACUGGGACUGAGACACGGCCCAGACUCCUACGGGAGGCAGCAGUGGGGAAUUUUGGACAAAGGGGGCAACCCUGAUCCAGCAAUGCCGCGUGUGUGAAGAAGGCCUUCGGGUUGUAAAGCACUUUUGUCCGGAAAGAAAUCGCGCUGGUUAAUACCUGGCGUGGAUGACGGUACCGGAAGAAUAAGCACCGGCUAACUACGUG
rnacentral:rRNA from 1 species